UACGAAGGGGGCUAGCGUUGUUCGGAAUCACUGGGCGUAAAGGGCGCGUAGGCGGCUUGAUAAGUCGGGGGUGAAAGCCUGUGGCUCAACCACAGAAUUGCCUUCGAUACUGUCGAGCUUGAGACCGGAAGAGGUAAGUGGAACUGCGAGUGUAGAGGUGAAAUUCGUAGAUAUCAGGAGGAACACCGGUGGCGAAGGCGGCCCUCUGGACGGUGACUGACGC
rnacentral:rRNA from 1 species